CAGCGCGUGGCCUAGUGGUGAACGUGCUUGAUUUCUAAUUUUGAGUCCCGGGUUCGAACCCCAGUGGGGUCA